rnacentral:sRNA from 1 species
GUUACAAAUAUUUAACCCCAUCCACAGGCUCACAGGUUAACCCUUGACCCCAAGCUGGCGGUGCUGCUUUGGGAGGUGGUGGAAGCUGUAGGAGGCAGGGCCUCAGUUGAGGAAGUGGGUCAGCAUGGCUCUGCAUUCUCAAGACACAACAAUCCAGAGGCAGUGACAUGAAUGCUUGCUCCGUGGACAGGUGGAAAAAUGACUGGGGAUAAAGGAUGGAUGAGAGCAGGACCUGCUGUCUCACAGCAGCGCCACACAGAACCCCACCUGCUGUGGAAUGCACACGAGCCAUUUUAGAGCAUGGGGGAAAUGUGGUAAAAUCCUUUAAAAUCUUCCUGACGAGUAAAUUCCUGGAAAGCAAUUAAUGUGGAAGGCUUUCAGGGACCAGAGGGAGUGGCAGAUAGCUUGAAUCCUGUUUCCUGAGUGGUCAGCCACGGACAUCACUCCAAACCAGGUAGCAAAGAGUGUGCUUUUUACAUCUCUGUUCUAGGAAGAACAUUUGCACAACUUCUAGCAACAUUCUUGGGUCAGUGGCCAUGACCCUGAGGCAAUGCUUAGCGCUACAGUGAUCGUUUGACUCCACACGGUACUACAAAAAGUGAAGCAGUGAAAGCCCUGGGCCACACCAACAAGCACGUGACAAGAGAGACGCUUGCUCAUACGACAGAGGCCUGCAUCCCUUAGGCAGAGUACUGACCAUGAUUGGAUGCGAAUGGAAGAAUGUCAACUAAGGAUUGUGUCUAUAUAGAAAAUCAUUAGCCAAACACCACAGGGCUAAUUAAUGUCAUUUGAAAUACUUUCUGUGUAUGUUGAAUAGAGUGCCGCCAUUAUCAUCUGGCCAAACGAAAUGCCUGCCCAUAAACAACAUGGAGCUAUUUAACAGGAUAGCUAAUUACAUCUCGUCUCACAGCCCCAACUGAUCCUAAGCAACAACUCCCUAAGCUGUGUUGUAGUGCAAGGUAGCCUAAGGCUCUGGGGCAGUUACUGAAUCAUGAGAUUUUACUGUUAGAACUUGUUCGGUGUGUUUAAAAACCACCAAAAUAUUGAAUGGAGUAAAGUUACUAGGGAGACCGCAGCUUGGAAAGAGGCAGAGGAGAUCAAGAUAGAGAGGGACACUUCAAAAGCCACGCUCGGGCUCACAGGCACCUGGCACGAAGCUAAGAAUGCUGGGGGAAUGGGAGGGAAAGUACCAAGCCCUGUGCUUUGCUCCAGGUCACCUGGUUCUAUGCGGCACCCUUGUGGGUGGCCUGUGGCAUCUAUGGCUGGAGGCAGCUGCAUGUGUUUCCAUGGUCUUCAGGUGGCAGGUUCUCUUUUUACCAAGCACUUUGUAUAAACUGUUCCCUUCAGCCUUCCUUCUUCACAUACAUUCUAUAGGAGGUUUAUUUUGGGCCCAAGGCGUGCUUCUCUCUGCAUUUGAUCUCAAAGCAAGCUCGUUGAAAAGAGGACCAGAGACCUAGACAAACCUUAUGGACUUGUGUCAUCCUUCUAUGUAUGCAAGAGACACAUUCCAGGUCCCCCCAUAGGCACCCAAGUUCUCACAUGCUCCGCUGUGGCAUUGCCAUAGAUCUGUACACAUCCCAGUGUGUGUAUUUUGAAUUGUCUCUAGACAAGUUUUGAUGAUAUUGCUGUGUCCAUGCCAGGGAGACAUUUGUUAAUGCUGCAUUGUGUUGGGGAUAAAGACAAGGGGAAAGCCACUCAUGCUCUGUGCAGAGGCAUUUUCAGUAAUCCCCCACCAUGGGGGAGGGAGGUCAGUUAAACCCUAGUGUCCAGGUUGGCUUUUUACUGCUGUGAUAAACACCAUGACCAAAAGCAAAUUGGGGAGAAAAGACUUCAUCUUAUGGCUUAUCGUGCAUCAUCCAGCAAGGCCAGGGCAGGAACUUGAGACAGGGACCUGGAAGGACGUACGAACUAAAGCAGAGACCAUAGAGGAAUGCUACUUACUCUCUUGCCUCCACUGCUUGUUCAUACAGCUCAGGACCACCUCCCACAACGAACUCCAUCCCCCAACCCACGUCCACCUUUAAUCAAGAGUCUUUCCUACAAACCAAUCUAAUGGAGGUAGUUUCUCAGCUGAGUGCUACUCCUCUACUAGUUUGUGUCAGGUUGACAAAUACUAACUAGCACCCUGGAUACAGCAGAUGUCAUGGAUACAAAGGGCUGGCUGCAGUGAUGGGACACUGGCCACCUUACUACCUUACUUCCUACCUACGAUGUGUCAAAGUCCAUCUCACUUUAAACCUAAAGGAGAAAAUAAUUUUGAAUAUUUUUCUUGAUUUUUUUCCCCAAAUGGGAUAUGGGAAAAAAGUACAACAUUACUGGGUCAUUAUUGUUCGUUUUCAGAACAAUGACAGAAUCUGAAAUCAUAUGGGAAAUGGACUCUGGGUUGGAACCCAGAACCUUGUCCCUCCCACUUAGGCAUGUGCUCUUACACUGAGCUACACCCUUGGCCUCAUACCUUCAUUUCUAAAAAUAAUGCCAAUGUGUAAUUGUGAGGAUUAAAGUAACAUGGAGACAAAUGAGUACACACUUCAUGUGCAUCAAAGCGGAGUCAUGCUAGGAAUUGCCUGGAGUGGACAUCUGUCUUAGGAGUUGCCAGGGAUGCUCAUAAUGACUCACAAAGUCUUCAGUGUGCUCCUUGACAUACAGUUUGUGUCACUGGUAUGGUCUUGGCCAGCUGCUCUCCAAUGUUUCCUCUAACUGGCUGCUCUCUGGACAUACCAUGAACCCCUCUGAGAACAAGCUUUUGCAGUGUAUCAGGGCCAACACCACUUGGCUUUUGAGAUGCUAUCUAUGUUUUCCAGCUACAGUGGUUUGUGACAUGCCUGGGCCUGUCCCAGUCUAUCCUAUGGAGACUGUUUACCUGCCUUUUUAAUGCUACAUACAUAUUCAGGUAAGCAGCCUGACGAUGAAUGAUGGCUGUAAGAAGCCAUUUCCAACAGUAGGUUGGGGUCUUGGUGGAUCUCAUGAUGCUCUUCUGUGGGGCUUCUGUAGACUUCAAGGACCAGUAAGCAGUUUUCACCCACAUGGGGGUAUGAGAUGUGAGAGGUGUUUUCUUGCUUUGUUCUCUUACAACUUUUCAAAUUAUAUGAAUGUAAUAAAAAGCAUACAUUAUUAAAAAUUUUAACUAGGUAUUUCACAUAUGGAGCUGUGAAGAAUUUCUUUUGGUGCCAAAAUGUCAUAAGGAAAAAAAGUAUGAGCUUUGUGAUUUGUGGACCUGCUAUGUAGGCAAUCUUUUUCAAAGUUGUAUUUUUCAAGAGGUGUUGGAACAUUUUUCUCCAUAAGGAUCACAGGUGGGAAACUCUUCAUAUACUGCUUCUACAAGUUGGAAAUUUUCCUUGUUUGAGGAUAAUGCAGAAAACAUUCAGUCCUCCAUGUUUGGUUGCUUUAUUUCUUCCUUUAGCCACAUUGCAGAGAACUUUCUAGAAAAGAAUUAAGAAUAUGCACCAAGAAACUCAUCACCACAACUGAGCACACAAUGGUGAGCAAGGUUAUCUCUAAAAUUGUACUCUAUACAUUUUUAAUACUCAAAAAGAAACAUCAAUGUGUCUCAUUUUCUAAUUUGUUAGAGAACAUGUCUGGUAACUGAUUAAACAAGCUAUAAAACACGGGGACCAAAGAGCCUCCAAGAACUUGAAAGACAUAUUACUUGGAUAAGCAAGUAACUCAUGAAAGUGAUGCUAUAGGAAAGAAUUUCUGUACAUCCUCCAUGGCUUGGUCCAAGUGAUGAGCCCUUUUCCAGUCCUUCUCAACAGACUUUAUGACCUACGUCGCCUAUUCCUCUCCUUAAUUCAUUAAACUGCAUUAAUUCAAACUAAUUAUCAUUUAAGCCUUUGACUCUAAAUUUCCUGGAUGAAAAUUUUGGAAUCUCUGAGUCAGAUGAACGUAUUACAUAAGUGCGCCCCAAGGAUUCACAAGCAGAAAACACAUCUUAGCGCUCAGUAAUGCCAGGGGACAUUCUUUUAGGGCAUCAUUCCUCCCUGAUUAUCAUUUUAUCUUCGCUCUUCAGUUGCAAGUCUUUCAUGAAGAAUUUGGGCAACGUUUUAAUUUAAAAAAAUUCCACCAUGCUACUUACAAACAUCAUUUUAAAAAACCUUUUAUUCAAUGGUAUACACAUUCAAGUAACAUUUGAAAUUUUUAAAAUAUAUGCUCAGAAGCAUGUGAACCUGCUGCUCUUGGUUAUUUACCUCACACACCCGGCUCAUGGUCACGUGCCCUUCAGGAGCCUAUUCCUGGAACCCCAUUUGGCAGUUUACCCAACAGAGCAAAAUUAAAAUUUAGAUCCUAGCCCCAAAAUGUUAUGUAACCAAAGCUUUGGUUUUUUGUGACCUUGAAGCGCUAGGUCAAGCCAAACAGCUUGAAUGUAAUUGUGUUUAACUGGAAACUCUGUGUCUGUACAUUUUUAAUGUCCCCAGAUUGCCACAUGAGACUCAGUCUUUAAAUGGGAUCCUUCUGAAGAGCAGAUUUCUUUGGGAGACAGGAUGAGGUAAAUAUGUAGAGACUAAUAUGACACAUGACUGUUUUGCAGGAUGACGCAACCAUGCAGUUGUUUUGUGAUUACCAAGCUCAUGAAGAAUGAACAAUAGACAUUGGAUGCAUUGGUUCAUGCUGUAGCCGCUGUAAUCAGGAAGCUGUGGGAGGAAGAACCCAAGUAGGAAGCCAAUCUGGAUACAUAGGGAUAGCCUGUCUAAGAAAACUAAAAAACUGUAUUCUGAAUACAACCCAAUGGCUUAAAGUAUCACUUAUAAGGAAACUGUAAACUUGCAAAACACUUAGAUUAUUUUUCUAAGGUUCCAAAGUAAGUGUAAUCGGUAAAGUUAAAAACUGUGGAGACAAUUAAGAGCAUGUAUGAGUCAGAUACUGGAAGCCUAGAAAGGAUCAAAAUUUAGAUCAAACAUGGGUUCUACUAAGGAUAUGCCCCCUAGCACUGUUUGGUCAAAGACCCACUAAUAUAUCCACCAAUAAUAAAGAGAACCUGUUCAAGUGUGUGUGUGCUGGAAUGACGCUCUUUGCUUUUCCAUUUUUUCCUGUCCAUUUGCCAGUACCAUUCCUUCUUAGUAUUUGUCGUGGUGGAAUGAUGUUCUGAGGACGUCUGAGGUUGGUACUAUGAGAGUUAUUUGUAAUGCUCAACUUGACACAGUGAAGGGAGGGUCAAUGUGGAAACUUCUGGGCUAGGAUGGCCUAUCAGGGGUGUUUGUGGGCAACUGUCAUGGUUACCUGCACAUGUGGGAAGAUCCGUGUGCAGCAUCUAUCUGUGACUUUGGAUCCUGAACUGUUGAGUGAUCAGAAAGUAGCUCAUUGAUUUCUGCUCCCAUUACUGCGUCUUCUCAGCUAUGUUGAACUGUGACCAGGAAUUGUGAGCCAAAAUAAAAAUUGCUUUUUAGGGUUCUUUAUCACAGCAACAAGAAAUAAAACUAAUCUAGAAACUGAACUUUAAGAAUUUAUUUAAACUCCACCUAGCCCAGAAGUUUCCACAUGGAUCCCAGCAGCCAGGAAAUGGAAGGAAAAAAUAUUCAUUCAUGGGGAGACAAUUAUACUUUCUUGAGCCACUGUACUUUCCGGAGUUAUGUCAUUUUACUGAAAUGGAGCCUUAUAAAUGGCAUAGCCCUGGUGUUUAAAAAUAAUGUAAUAUUCUUUGCAGCAUUCUUACAGAAUGAAUGAAGCACAGAUCCUGCUCAUUCUUCCUGUGUCCACUAUCCACACCAAAAGAAGAUCUACCCAAGUCGAAACCAUCACUCCAUCUGUUACUAUCACUCUUUGGAGUUCAGGACCCCAUCUGCUCCCAAGAGAGCAUGGUUGAAGGCCCUUCUCCAGGUCAUGCUGGACUCCUCCCUGCCAUGUGUCCUGCUCUUGGUGUCACCCUGUUCUUUGGCCCCAGUCUCCUCCUGCCGUCCUCAGAUGGAGGCAGACUCCAUGGAUGCCUGUCUUCUGUAUCUGGUAAACAGACACAGGAAAAUUGCUAGUUCAAAGUCAGCUAGAGCCACAAGGUCCCACUUCACAUUCUGAGUAACUGUCCCAGCUUCUGGAGAGCAAACAGAACAUGCUAAGGACCGUGACAUGGGAAGGUCAGUAGAGACAUCUAUUCUCCCAGUGAUGCUCAUACGGAAACAAUGUGUGACUGAAGUCAAAUGGAAAUACAAAAGCGUAUUUAUUCCUGGUCUAUGCAGUUCCUUGGACACCUGAUACCUCUCUCCUGCUAACAAGAGUUUCAACAAUGUUCACACACACAGAUGCCCCCAACUGGAGACAUAUCUAUAAAAAAAAUCUAUGAUGAAUUUUACUUGGAGCUAUAACAGCAAAAGUUCAAACAAUAUGCAUUCUUGAAAAACAGAAGAGUAAAAAAUAAAAGAUUACUGUAAUAUCCCAAACAAACAGAGAAGUGGUUGAUAUAUUUCUCUGAAGACUCUGGCUUGAUUCAUGUGUCCCACAGAGCACCAGGGAUCAGGUACCAAUAGGCUGGGUCUCAAGACUUUAGAGUCCCGAGGGUGCAGGGCGUGAGGAGACAAGGUUGAGCUGUAUGAAACAUAAUAGAAAACUUAAAAAUGAAACGAAGAGCGAAACAGCAGAAGUCAAGCAAAUGGCGGACACGGAGAGACACAGUAAGAAAAUGGCAACAUAUUUAGAUGUUGCUGCCUGCCGUGUGCUGUGGCUGCUGUGGCUACUGCUGUGGGACCAAGAGUGUUGUCUGGAAGGACAGAACACAGCACUGAAAAAUUUUGGUUUCAUGGAGGAAAAGAAGUUAAAGGAGAGAUGGUGUGGAGGAGAGAUGUGUGAAAAUAACAAAGGAAUAUAAAGAGUCAUCAACAAGAUCACGGGUGAGACACUGAAGUAGGAAAGCAACCCAUUCAUUCUAGAAUAAAAAUAGCAUCACACAAGUAUAAAGAAGACUCACCCCAGUGGAGAAAUGGGCCCUCUGGGCAUCAAGAAGGGGCAGGUACUUGGGAAUGCGCCCCCCCAACCCCCGAGCGCCCCAGUCUUUGUACCUUUCUGUUGACAAAGGCCCAGCUUCCCUGCAGCUCAACGAACACUUGCUGUUUGAGGCUAAACUGGGAACCAGAUGAAAAAAAGAGGAGUAACCGACCAGCAUCUAAACAAACAAGAAUAAAUUAC